CACGCCGUAAACGAUGUCAACUAGCCGUUGGGAGUCUUGAACUCUUAGUGGCGCAGCUAACGCAUUAAGUUGACCGCCUGGGGAGUACGGCCGCAAGGUUAAAACUCAAAUGAAUUGACGGGGGCCCGCACAAGCGGUGGAGCAUGUGGUUUAAUUCGAAGCAACGCGAAGAACCUUACCUGGCCUUGACAUGCUGAGAACUUUCUAGAGAUAGAUUGGUGCCUUCGGGAACUCAGACACAGGUGC
rnacentral:rRNA from 1 species